rnacentral:rRNA from 1 species
UACGAGUGCCUCAAGCGUUAUCCGGAAUCAUUGGGCGUAAAGGAUGUGUAGGUGGUCUUGUUAGUCUCUUGUUAAAUUCUUCGGCUCAACCGGGGGCAUGCAAGGGAAACGGCAAGACUAGAGGAUGCAAGGGGUUACUGGAACUCUAGGUGUAGCGGUGAAAUGCGUUGAUAUCUAGGGGAACACCAAAAGCGAAGGCAAGUAACUGGGGCAUUCCUGACACUGAGACAUGAAAGCGUGGGUCGCGAAAGGG